CUCAUGUCAAACACCCUCAGACAUCCUCCUUGCUAAUGUCUGGGACUUGGGUCAAAAUUGGGAGAGUUGAUGAACCUGAGUGAAUGUUUGAUAAGUGUGUGUUAUGGUCAGCAAUAAGUCACUUGUACAUUCCUUUGGUGGCUUUGCUUCUCCAAUCCUCUGCAGUGCUGUCCCACUGGCUGCAGCAAGAUUGUUGGAGGGCUGCUUACUUUCUUUGGGGCAGGAUGCCCUUGAGCAGUUGAGGGCUUUUAAGAUUGGGCUUCUGACCAUACCGUCUCUUCUUUGUGAAUAGCAGUCUGGGUGGGCUGAUUGUCAGACAACUGUGGGGAUAGUGAUGGGAGGACGAAUGCUGCCAUCCUGAGAAAGGACAACAGAAUUUUGCAGUAUGGAGCCAAUGCCUCUUUCCUUGGGCGGUGCCUCAGUGAUCAGUUGGAGCAGAGUUCACUACACUGUAAUGCAUUGAAAGAUUCUUUUUGCACUGACGUCCACAGCCGUGAUUGCAGCAAUUUGAGCAUGAUUGGUAACAAAUUGAAAUUUCAUGACCUCAGUUUGAACUUCCACUGCAAUACUCGAACUGACUUCUGUUUGUACUGCACUAGAUGUUACGAUGUGGGCAUCAGGCUCUGCACUGUGCUGUGCUGUGGUGUGUACAUGUUCUCAUGAAGUUAGCAAUAAAUUUGAUGCUGAAAAGAUCUGUUCCGAGCUCUGCACACAGCCCUAGGUCAAGUUGGAGCCAAGCUCCUCCAUGCUACUGGACAGUAACAGUAGGCAGUCAGUCAUGUCUGUUAAUGCACCAAGCAUUCCUCUGUACAUGCCUGUCAGCUUUUUCUGUAUACUAUCCAACCGAUAAACUCUUCUUAGUUUUAUGGAAUGGAACCUUUGUGCAAACUCAUACUUUAAGGUGAUGGUGGUGGACAUGGAAUCCUUUAUCGUCUAUCUUGGUGUAGUUUAGUCAUGCCCAAUGUGUCACCACAUGUACAUCGAAUUUCUAUGCAAGUGUCUGAAGUAUGUGCAGUACUACUGUCUCAACUGAUGGCUGCGUAUGUGUGUUCUGAUUGAUGGUGUUUGUUUAUCGUAAAUGACUUGCUCCAUUUGGUCUUCACAGUCUCACACCACUGCCUAAAAGAUGGUAGUUCUUGGAUAUCUGAAAGCAAAAAGACAUAAGAAUGUGGUUGAGAAUGGAGAAAUGCUGCAGCAGGCUGUCAACACAGACAUUGAUCCAUGAUAUCCAUCAUGUGGGGUCAUGAACUUACACCUCAUGCUGGAAACUGUUACAAUCAGUGUUACAAGGAGAGACAAACAACCAGACGUAAGCAGCUACCGUCAUCUCUUAACCAAGGCAGCAGUGAAAAUUUGGAGCACCCAUUUGCUCCAGGAUGAGCACAAACUAGGAAUUUAAUCUGGAAUCUGCCUGGAUUUGUACAGUUCAGCCGCACAAUAGACUAAAGCCUUGAUAUACUUCUGGAGCAAAUACAAUUUUUGUAGAAGUACCUGGAUUUUCCAUCUGCUGAAACUCUAAUUCAUGCUUUUAUCAUCUUCAGAGCCAACUAUUCCAAUCCUUUAAUGGCCUCCUUUCUUUCACAUUCUAUUAAGAAAACAUUCAAAAUCCUCCCAUCUUGGGGGUGUAAUUUAGUCUCUAUCAUGACCAGUGAUUAAAAAUAAAUGUGAAAUAGACCAAUUAGAUCUUCAAAUGAGUUUAUACUAAAUGAAUUAAUUAUAUUGUGUAUAGAAGAUUUUGUAUAAUUUUGAAUAUUUAGUAAAAUUCGUGGAAUGUAUAUUUUUGUGUUAUGUGUAUAUAUACAUAAAACUGAACGUAUAUUCAUUUUACAUUGUUUAUGUAAAAUCUUUAUUGGAAGAUUUUAUGCUCUAAACCUAAUGGCAGCUGGGAGUGAUUGCUUGGUUUCCAAGUGGCACGACCACAUAUUAUGAAUUCAUAGUGAACCAAAACUUCAGCCGUGCAAGUCAAGAGAAAAGAGUGUGAUAAGCUGGGUGAUUAUGAACUGAAAGACAAAUGAAGUGAGCAUAUAGGGAGAGAAAUAGAACUUUAGGAAAUGGGAGGCUGUUGUUAAAAAAAAGGAGGGAAGCAAAGGUGAAAGAAGAAACCACAAAAGAUGUGCAUGCUUCAAUGACUGUCAGAAGCAUAAAAUAAAUGGAGAGUUAGAUUUGCUUUUUAGUCAGCAUUCUGUCUAAUUUGACAAUGAUUUAAUGAGCCACUUCUCUCUUUCUCUCUCUCUCUAUUUGUGUCACAAGGAUCUAACCCAGCUAUCAAAAUAUUUGAUUCAUACCAUUUGAUUAAUCAGGGCUAGGUUGGAGGCCUUUUCUAGUAUUUUGUUUAUUUAUUUGUGGGACAUGGGCGCAGCUGGCCACCAGCAUUUUAAUGCCCAUCCCUCAUUGCCAUUGAGAAGGUGAUGGUAAGUUGCCUUCUUGAACUGCUGCAGUCCACAUGCUGUAGUUUGACCCACAGCGCUCUUAGGGAGGGAAUUCCAGGAUUUUGACAGGAUUUUGUGUUUGUUGACGGGGUUCAGGUUGGAAUGCCAGGCCUCCAGGAAUUCCCUGGCAUGUCUCUGUUUGGCUUGUGCUAUUGUGGAUGUGUUGUCACAGUUGAAUUCGUGUCCUUCUUGGUCCGUGUGUAUUGAGAGACAUAACCAAUUCCCACUGGUCUCAACUGGACCUGAUAUACAAAGCACUGAAAAACAGAACCAGAAGUAAUACCAACCACCCCAGCAAAUCGAGGUAGAUAAAUAACAAGUGGGACACAACAUCAAUA